GGUGAAGAACGUAGCGAAAUGCGAUAAGUAAUGUGAAUUGCAGAAUUCAGUGAAUCAUCGAAUCUUUGAACGCACCUUGCGCUCCUUGGUAUUCCGAGGAGCAUGCCUGUUUGAGUGUCAUUAAAUUCUCAACCUCACCAGUUUUGUAACGAGACAGGUGAAGGCUUGGAUGUGGGGGUUUUGCCGGCUGCCUCAGUGCUGGUCUGCUCUCCUGAAAUGCAUUAGCGAGCUCAUAUUGAGCUUCCGUCUAUUGGUGUGAUAAUUAUCUACGCCGUGGAUUGGACUCAUGCUUGCUUCUAACUGUCCGCAAGGACAAUUUACUUGACCAAUUUGACCUCAAAUCAGGUAGGACUACCCGCUGAACUUAAGCAUAUCAAUAAGCGGAGGA
rnacentral:misc_RNA from 1 species